GACGAACGCUGGCGGCGUGCUUAACACAUGCAAGUCGUACGGUAAGGCCCUUUCGGGGGUCCACGAGUGGCGAACGGGUGAGUAACACGUGAGUAACCUGCCCACAACUUUGGGAUAACGCUAGGAAACUGGUGCUAAUACUGGAUAUGUGCUCCUGCUGCAUGGUGGGGGUUGGAAAGCUCCGGCGGUUGUGGAUGGACUCGCGGCCUAUCAGCUUGUUGGUGGGGUAGUGGCCUACCAAGGCGGCGACGGGUAGCCGGCCUGAGAGGGUGACCGGCCACAUUGGGACUGAGAUACGGCCCAGACGCCGACGGGAGGCAGCAGGGGGGAAUAUUGCACAAGGGGCGCAAGCCUGAUGCAGCAACGCCGCGUGCGGGAGGACGGCCUUCGGGUUGUAAACCGCUUUCAGCAGGGACGAAGCUUUUUGUGACGGUACCUGCAGAAGAAGCACCGGCUAACUACGUG
rnacentral:rRNA from 1 species